CCAGGCUGCUGCAAAUGCUAUUAUUUUGUUCAUUUUCAUUGCUGAGUAGUAGUGCCAUUAUUUUUUUACUCAGAAUUGUCUUUAUCUAAGACCCGGGAAUGAUUGUAUUAAAAUAUAAGUAGCCAAGAAUAGAAACCGUCUCCCACUGUUUUUGUGAAGAGUAGGAGCCUACCGUCACCAGGCUCCAAGUUGCAAAACAACCUCCUCUUACGAAGAUGUUGGGGAAGAAUUUUCCCUUUGAAUAUAGCCAGUUAGCAAAUAGAUGGCCUCCUUAAUUACCAGGUUUAUUUAGAAUAAAUAUGUAUGGCAAAUGAUGCUGUCAAGCCUUCUAUUUGAGGAAUAAUUAUGACAACCUUUCUUUUUCUGUUUGAAACGUCUUACCAGAUUGCCUGUGAUUCAUGUCACAUUCUAGUUUAACUGUGUAAUAAAACAGCUUUCUUUCUGUUCCUCCAUUAUGGAGAGUUUUUCUGGGGUUGGAGAUAAUGUGGUUUUAAGUUAGAGUUUCAAACACUGUCUAAAAUUACCAGACAUAAUAUAAACAUAUAAGGUGUUCACCAGGCUAGAUGGGCCUUUUCCUCUCAAGCUUUCAGUCACAACCCACAAUUGUGCAGCAAAAGUGCAUGUUUUCAAAAUCUACAAUUGGAAUGACUUCUCUAUUUGGUAUCUAUGGUUCCUUUUAGAACAAUUAGACAAGAUUUCUACAGAAAUAACUUCAUAGGACAAUGAUCAGUUAUUCCACCUCUUUUAAUGCCCUUGGCAUCUUCAGACCUGAAACUAAUUCAGAAACCAUGGGACUCAGAAACCCACAUACAUCAGGAUCACACAUACAGAUUGAUUAGCUUGAGAAUCUCAACUUUUUCCCCCUUCUUCCUGCCCAUAUGCUGACAGAUAUGAAGAGAGUACCUAUUGCUUUCCAUCUUCUCCAAAUCCUAAAUCUGCAGUUUCAAAUUCUGAAUGUAGGUUUUGGCAAUCUUCCAUAUAUGUUAGAGCAGCCUCCAUGAAGUUAUCUCUCUUCUAGUUUCUUUCUCCAUGCUGUAACAGCCAAGAAUACACAGCCAGAUUGAUCUCACUUAGAAUGUGCACAUAGGGACUGGCCUCUGCCUGGGAUUCACAAGGCAGGGUCAGACUUUGGAUUGAGGAUGUACAGAAAAUCAAGGGGAGACAUUUUCUACAUCAUAAGAGGUUAACAGAGACAUUGUAAAGCCUCCCCACUUUUUAGAGUUGGACCAUUUAAAUUUUCCAGAUCUUGUCUGAUUUUCUGCUGCAGUUUUGUUUGAGGCUCCUGGUAUAAACAGAAUCACUUGGCAGAAUCUGUAAUUAUAAUCCAGCACUUCAGUAGUGGGAGGUCCAGACCCAUGAAUAUCCAGACCUGUGAACUGUGUGACCUGACUAGGGUAUUGUUUUUCCUCUUAACCAAGAGUUACUGGAUCAGGGACAGGUGAUAUUACACCAGGAUUCAUGAUACAUAGCUGCACCAGGACAGUGCCAUUUCUAGUUCUGGCCCUACGGAAUCAGACCAAGUCCCUUUGCCUGGAUCAUCAUGGGGGCAUCAGCCCAGACUCACUGGGUACUCUCUCACCAACACCUGGGACCAUAUGGGAUGUCCUAUGCAGACUGGAGUCAGGCUGAAAACAGGGCUUAAUUCUCCCAUUUUAGAGGGAGAAAAAUGAGUCAUCCAGGGUUUGUUCCACCCCUCACAGAAGGAAUCUGAUUGGUUGGUGCCCAGAUGGCGGUUGCUUCAGUUUCCAGGUAAUUGAAAUACAAGGACACCUAAAGACUCAAACUCAUUAAUAAACCAAUUGUUUCCAUUUCAUGUAGUCAUUAGAAAAACAGAUGAAGCAGUUGUGAGCCAUCCAGGAACUUUUAGUCUCAAGCACAUGACCAAAUGGUUUAAUUCAGCAUUAUGUCAAUACAAAGAAGGGAGGUUUACAGUGGACUUUGGCACCAUUUAUACCACUUCCCUUUGACUGUUUUAAAUUCUGAUAUUACCAUCAGUAACAUGAAAGGGUUUUCCUGGACAGAAGAGUUAUUAUUAUUCUAUUCCUAUUACCUUGCUAAAAAUAAAUACUUAGCUUCUAAUAAAAUUUACAAAAUCCCAAGUGUUUUGGUUAAAUUACUUGUUAUUUUAUGUUAUAAAAUGGACAGGGAAGUGCCUAAAAUGGAGUAAAAUUACACAAAUGCUGGAAGUCAGUUUUCUUUUGAGCAGGCUUAGAACAGGCAGAAUGAAAAACAGAAAAAAAAAAGAAAAAAGCAGCAUUAGAGAUCAAAAUUCUCCCAAUAGCCCACUUCCAGCCCCAGCCUUGCCUAGAUCCACUCUCUUCUGAGCUUUGUCCAGGUUUGACCCAACCCUAGAGUCUUCUUUCACAAAUUGAUUCAAGGUCAGAGUUUUUGGGGGCUGUUCCUGCUGUUCCUGCAGAGCUGUUUUCUGAAACCAAAGAGCAGAUAAAUGGGAGCAAAAUACUGUAUGUUUGUGCGCCUUAAUUUUUUUUUAAUGUAUUUAAACCAGUGCUUCUAGAGGGAACCUACUCAGCAGUCUGUUCUCCAUUCGUGUGGAUUCAGUAGUUGCUCCACAAGUAACAAGAAAGUAAAGACAAAUAAACAUCUUUCGGAACUACACUUAACUCUUCCUAUACCCCUCCCAUCUUUCUAUAUUGAGUUUUUAUUGUAUGCAUUUUUAAAAAAUGUUUUAAAAAUAGGCUGAGCUUUUCAUCUAAAUUUUGAGAAUUGCGGGACACUUAGUACCCACCUCCCAGGGUAUUAUAAGGGUUAACUCAUAUAGUGUGAGUUUCUCAGCACAGUGCUCUGUAGAAUACUCCUGUGCACUUGGCACAUGCUCUAGAGACAUUGCAUUAAUGCAUGUGUACGUGUCGUUUUUCAAAUGCAGACUUACUCAGAAAUUGCUGCCUUCUUUAGCCUCCCUGAACUUUAAUGGACCAGCAGAAAAUGUCAUGUUUCAGGAUGGGACUGUUGAAAUUCAGGGAUGUGGGCAUAGAAUUGUCUCCAGAGGAAUGGGAAUGCCUGGACCCUGCUCAGCAGAAUUUGUAUAGGGAUGUGAUGUUUAAGAACUACAGAAACCUGGUUUUUCUGGAUCUCACUGUCUCUAAGGCAAAUCUGAUCACCUGUCUUGAGUAAAGAAAAGAGCCCUGCCAUGUGAGGAGACAGGAGACAGCAGCCAAACCCCCAGGUUGGAAGCACUCUUUUUGCAGUAUCUACAAAGAGACAACUAUGAGCCCAUUGAAGCCUAUAGUGAAAAACCAAAUAUCCUGUGAUAAGUACUAGAAAAAAUCUAUCUGUGAAAAUUCGCUGUGAUGUGUGGAUUCAUCUCAUCGAGUGGAACCUGUGUUUUUAUUGACUAGAUUCUAAGGGAUAUUUCUGAGCUCAUUGAAACCUAUAGUGUAAAACCGAAUAUUCCGUGAUAAAAACUAGAAACAAGCUAUCUGUGAAAAUGCUUUGUCAUUUGUGGAUUCAUCUGACAAGGAAAAAUCCUGAUUCAUCAGGUUGGUAACACCCUUUUUGUGGAAUCUAUAAGGAAACAUUUCUGAGCACCUGGAAGCCUGUAGUGAAAAACCUAAUAUCCCACAAUACAAACUAGAAACAAGCUAUCUGUAGAAAUGCUGUCUGAUAUGCAGAUUAAUCUCACAGAGUGGAACCUGUGUUUUGAUUCACCAGGUUGGAAACACUCUUUUUGUGGAAUCUAUGAAGGGAUAUUUCUGAGCCCAUUGAGAUCCAUAAGAUGAAAUCAAGUAUCUCAUGAUAAAACUUAGACACAAGCUGAGAAAAUGCUUUGUGAUGUGUGGAUUUAUCUCACAGAAAUGAAUCUAUGUUUUGAUUCAUCAGGUUGGAAACAAUCUACUUAUAGAACCUAUGAAAGGACAUUUCUGUGCCCAUUGAGGCCCAUAAGAUACAAUCAGCUAUCCCUUGGUGAAAACUAGAAACAAGCUAUCUGUGAAACUGCUUCAUGAUGUGUGACUUAAUUUUGCAGAAUGGGACCAGCGUUCUGAUUUAUCAGUUUGGUAACACUCUUUUUGGCGCAUCUAAGAAGGAAAAUUUCUGAACCCUUUGAGGCCCGUAAGAUAAAAUCUAAAAUUCCAUGAUCAAAACUAGAAACAAGCCAUCUGUGAAAACACUUUGUAAUGUGAUGGGUUAAUCUCACAGAGGGGAACCAGUGUUUUAAUCAACAGACUGGAAACACUCUUUUUGUGGACUCUAUGAAGGGAUGUUUACGAGUCCAUUGAAGCCUAUAGUAAGAAUCCAAAUUUCCUGCCAUAAAAACAACAAGCAAGCCAGCUAUGAAAAUGCUUUGUAAUGUGUAGAUUCAUCUAACAGAGUUAAACUUGUAUUUUGAUUCACCAGGUAGAAAAUACUCUUUUUGCAGAAUCUAUGAAGGGACAUUUCUGAGCCCAGUGUGGCCUAUAAGAUAAAAUGAAGUAUCAGACAAUAAAAACUACAAACAAGCCAUCUUGAAAAUGCUUUGGGAUAUGUGCAUUCAUCUCACUGAAUGGAAUCUGUCUUUUGAUUCACCAUG